rnacentral:rRNA from 1 species
UACAGAGGGGGCAAGCGUUAUUCGGAAUUACUGGGCGUAAAGGGCGCGUAGGCGGUGUGUCAAGUCAGGCGUGAAGGCCCCGGGCUCAACCUGGGAACCGCGCUUGAGACUGGCACGCUAGAGUUCGGGAGAGGAUGGUGGAAUUCCCGAGUGUAGAGGUGAAAUUCGUAGAUAUCUGGAAGAACACCGGUGGCGAAGGCGGCUCGCUGGGCCAGUUCUGACACUCAUCCGCGAAGCGUGG